rnacentral:rRNA from 1 species
GGGUUGUGAGGUUAAGCGACUAAGCGUACACGGUGGAUGCCCUGGCAGUCAGAGGCGAUGAAGGGCGUGCUAAUCUGCGAUAAGCGCCGGUAAGGUGAUAUGAACCGUUAUAACCGGCGAUACCCGAAUGGGGAAACCCAGUGUGAUUCGUCACACUAUCAUUAACUGAAUCCAUAGGUUAAUGAGGCGAACCGGGGGAACUGAAACAUCUAAGUACCCCGAGGAAAAGAAAUCAACCGAGAUUCCCCCAGUAGCGGCGAGCGAACGGGGAGGAGCCCAGAGCCUGAAUCAGCAUGUGUGUUAGUGGAAGCGUCUGGAAAGGCGCGCGAUACAGGGUGACAGCCCCGUACACAAAAGCGCAUGUGCUGUGAGCUCGAUGAGUAGGGCGGGACACGUGGUAUCCUGUCUGAAUAUGGGGGGACCAUCCUCCAAGGCUAAAUACUCCUGACUGACCGAUAGUGAACCAGUACCGUGAGGGAAAGGCGAAAAGAACCCCGGCGAGGGGAGUGAAAAAGAACCUGAAACCGUGUACGUACAAGCAGUGGGAGCCCCACCACUAAGCCAGUGGUGAACUCCACAUACGCAUCCUUU